CCAGUCGGCUGGAUGGCCGCUCCCACUAGCGCCGAAAGGCCGUGGGGGAGGAAAGUCCGGACUCCAUGGAGAAACGGUGCCGGAUAACAUCCGGCGAGGGCGACCUUAGGGAAAGUGCCACAGAAAGCAAACCGCCUUCACAUGUGGGGGUAAGGGUGAAAGGGUGGGGUAAGAGCCCACCGCGCGGCUGGCAACAGUCGUGGCAUGGUAAACCCCACCGGGAGCAAAACCGAAUAGGGGCGGCGCGGAGGCUUCGGCUUCCAGUCUUUCUCCAGACCAGACCGCCCGGGUUGGUUGCUUGAGGCGUUCAGCAAUGGGCGUCCCAGAUGAAUGGCCGUCACGUGCGGGAAACCGCGCCAUACAAAAUCCGGCUUACAGGCCGACUGGUAUC
rnacentral:RNase_P_RNA from 2 species